AUAACCACUAUGUGGCGUUAAAUUGCACGCUGCCGGUCGCCUGCGCCCCGAUCCUCCUUGCGCAUGAAAUCCGGCGUUUCUUUCAUAAUAAAAUGACGUCUCCUAACUGCAAUAUCAGCCUUGUGUUUGGGGAGCCGCAGAGGGUCGCUUCGCACACAUGCAGCAUGGGGACGGAGUGACUGAAAGCGUCUGAUGCGUUUCCGCUUCUAUGUGCCGGAGCAACACGGCAUGAUUGCAAAAGGCGCAACCACCGGAGAUAAAGGGAUCUUCUCCCCGUCCGCUGCCACAAUGAUCAGAUGUCUUUUUCGGGAGGACGGUUGCAAUACAUCCUUUUGACACACAAAUGGCGUCUGGUACGAGCGGCGGACUUGAUGAUUUGUACGUUUCGGAUGGAUGGAGAGGUGUGAGAGCCUCGGUAUGUGUUCGCAAAAAGGCAAAGAUACCUUUGGAUGGGGCGCCCAUGAAAUGUCUGCUUUUGCUAGAAAUGGUGGCACUUGUUUUGCAAUCGGCUCUCGCAGCGGAAGGGGAAGGUGCUUAUGAGGGAUCGGCCUCAACCUCCCUCCCCCCUGACUACACGCCAUCAGCGGGAUUGACCAAAUUGUUGGCUGGCGUUCUGCUGGUGGAGGAGGGACAGCUCGCCCGCAGCCGCGUCCAUCCAGCAGGGGCAGCAGAGAGCCUACGCGAGGAGCCAGCCUUUGCCUCUAUACUCACCAUGCUGGCAGGCUCUGUUGAAGGGCCCCAGACAUUAGUGCAGACACUGGCCUCCCCGGCUGGCUCUGGCAAUUACAAUGGAAACCAAACAAACCAAGAGCCUUCAGAAGAGCCAUUCAAGGGAGCUCAAUCUUCUGUCCCUUUGGUCACCAGCGUGUAUCCCGCCUACAGCUCAGACGAGACGGCGGUCUCCGGUUUGCCUCCGGCCACAGUGACGCCCGUUUCCUCGCCAAGCGAACUGGAUUCCACCCACCUGGAGCGUGGCCUGGCUUCGAUGGGCCCCAGCGAUUCGCUGCUUGUAGACCCCACAACCACAGAUGCCUCUGGGGCGCCGCCACACACCGUGACAGAUGGCUCCCCUGAAACGACCACCAUGACCAUCACGACCACGACCGCAGUCACGGAUGCCGUGAGGACCACCACCGUCAUCUCUGACACCACGACAUGGUUGGCCAGCACUACGCAGACCCACACAAGCAGGACUGAGGGGAAGGUCUUGGAGAAAACCACUAUGAAGACAACUACAACCGAUUUAACCUCCAUGCAGACCACAACAAGUGCCACACCACUGACUUUCACACCCACAAAGACCACAGUCAGUGUGUCCAACUCCUCCCUUACAGAGAGUCCCAUGCUGCAAUGCAACGUCACUGAGGAGAUGUGGGUGAAGACAGUGCUGUCCGUCCACUUCAGGGGGAAGAGGAUGGACGGUGCACUGAGACAGAACCUCCCGCGCGGGCUCAGCCGUGCGCUGCAGAAGGCGCUGAAUCUCAGCACCGUACAGGCUCAGAUCGGCAAUGUGAGCGGCACAUGGAACGUGACCGUGGGUUACUACGCGGUCAGCGGCUCCGCUGUCCUCACAGCGUCCACGGUGGCGGAGGCCCUGGCCGCGUACGGCGCCGACCGGCUGCUGGGGGACGUAAAGCAGGCAGUACCGCUGGUGCAGGCCAUACUGCUGGCCGGCGAGCCCUGGAGGCCACCGCCUGACGCCGCCCUGCUGGUGAAGACAGUUCUCAGGUUUGUGGGCCCAGGCGAUGACAUCACUUCCUGUGCUUUCGUCCAAAGCAUGGAGCAGAGGCUGGAGAGCGUCUUUACGGAGGCGCAGUCCAAAGUCCUCAAUAGCUCUGCUAAGCUUUCUGUUCAGAUCCUGGCUGCCUGGCAGCUGCCGUUGUCGCAGGCUGUGGCACUGACCUACGUGGUGAGGAAUGGCAGCGAGAGCCUCAACGGCACCGUCUCCAGCGGCCUCCUGGGGCAGCUCAGCGCUGAGCUGGUCGGCUACUUCCUGUUCUACCCUCCGCUGAGCAUCGCCGAGCCAUUACUGUACCACAACCUGAACACCUCCAUAGCCACCAAGGACUUCUGGGUAAUCACAGUGCUGCAAUACGUCGACAGCUCAUCUCUGGACGGCGGCUAUCAGAACUUUGCACGCUUAAUGGAACAGCGUUUGGCUCAGCUGUUUGUCAUCGCCCAGCAACAGGGGGCUCGCUUCCGGAGAGCCACCACCGUUGGGGGAUACACUGUGCAGAUGGUCGGAGUCCGGCGGGUCCCAGGGCCUAAAAACCCCGCUGAGAUGAUCUACUAUGCCCAGCUGCAAGGCCGCCCCCUGCUGGGCACCUCAGCCGCCAAGAUCCUCAACACGGUGGACUCCCAGACCAUGGCCCUAACGCUGGGCUAUUUUGUCCAGCUGCAGGCUGAGCCUGUGGUGAAAAGCCCUCCCAGCAACCUUUGGAUCAUCCCGGCGGUGCUGGUACCCAUCGCCGUGGUGAUGGUCAUCGUCCUCAUCAUCACGGCUGUGCUGUGCCGGAGGAACAGAGGGGAUUUUAAGGUGGAACUGAACCCUCGUACCAAGACAUCGUAUCGGAGGGACGCCAGUUUCUACCACCAGCCUGUGCAAGGGUUCGACUACGCCAAGCAACACCUCGGGCAGCAGGGCGGCAAUGAGGAAGCUGUUUCCGCAACCCAGGAAACCAUUGUCCUCCCCCUGUCUGUCCGGGAUGGCCCCCUGCUGCACCAGAAUGGAACUGCGUCCAAGAGGACCCUGCCCAAUGAGGUCCAUAGGAGCGAGGACGGUUCCGUCAUCAGCAGCGAAUCAGGGAAGGGCAACUCCUGCAGGGCCACAUCAGCGCAGAGGGUCCCAGCCCAGCAAAAGCCCCCUCGAGAAGAAGCACCCAAGAGGACUGAUCCAUACGGCUCCUCAGGCUCCCUGCAGCUGGUCUCUGUUCAGCCGGCUGCCCCCCCGCAGAGCUGUUCGCACCCGCCCUCCUCUGACCGCAGCCAGGACUCCAGCAUCCUUAAUGGGGAGGUGAACAUGGCCCUGAAGCAGAAGUCAGACAUUGAGCGCUAUAGGAACAAGCUGCGUCUCAAGGCCAAGCAGAGAGCUCACUGCGACCUACCCGCUGUGGAGAGCAGUGGCCGCUCCAGGGCUCACGGCCACCAGAGGGCGCCGCUGGAUGCCAGUCAGGGAUCCACAUACGUCAAGUCCAGUGCGAGGUGCUCCCAGCUGAGGAACCCCACCUACCGAAGCCGGCAGUCACUGAGCAGCCCCAGCCCCGGAACCAACGAGAUGGACCUGCUGGUGUUGGGGGAGCGUGGUGGACGGGGCAUCCGCAACAGCGGCUACGACACGGAGCCGGAGCUGCUGGAGGAGACCGACAUCGACCGCCUGAUGGGGCUGAUGGGAUACGCGGGGGGGCCGCCGCUCGCCGGCCACUCUGAGGCGUCCACCUUGAGCUCCCAGCCCUCCAUCGAUGAGGUGCGACAGCAGAUGCACCUGCUUCUGGAUGAGGCCUUCACCUUGGCCUCGUCCGGCCAUUCCACGGGUGGCGGCCGUCCCCAUGGCCCCCAGGGGCCCCAUGUGACCCACUCACGGCCCGGCCCGGGCUCCGAGGUGGUGACCAGCGCCCCGGGCUCCAUUGCCCGGCCCUGUGGAGAGCUGCACUGGGCCCCGGCCUACGCGCUCGACCUGUUCCCCUGCAGCCUCCCCAAGCCUGCUUUCCGCUUUACCCAGCUGCCUGACAUGGCUAUGGCGCCCCCCCCAGUACCCCCUCGGACAGGACACACUCCUGGGGCCUCGCUACUGCGUUCAACCUCGGACAUUGGGCCCAAGGCCAGGUCCUCGGAAUGCUCCAUGGCAGACAUGCACAGUGUGUACGACAGCGUCCGUGUGCCCAUGAGCCGGUCGCCUCUCCCAGGAGCCGCCGUCGAUCAGCAUGCAGCAAAUUACUCAGGAAACCCAAUCACAGCAGCUUAUGCCAGCCGGCCCUGCUGCUCAGGCUACUCGGCAGCCACGCCCCCCACUUCUUACAGGAGUCCGUCCUGGAUGUCAUACCCCCCGGAGCCAGAGGACCUUCCUCGCCAGUGGGCUGGCUCAAAUCAGUGUCACUUGGAGACUAUCUGCUGAGAGGGAUUCCUCAGAGGAUUCGUGUGGGUUCACCCAAGCAGCAGGUUGGUUGAGAAGAUGCCGGAAUACGGCCAAACACUGGCUUGCCUGCCCACUGAGAUUGCUGAACGCUUAUCCUUCUAAACUAAGCUGAUCGUAUUAUAAUAAGCUGUUCGGAUGCCUCUUUUCGAUUCGCUGACCCAGGCGACUGAGCUGGCUGGCUGCGAAUGGGAGCCACGAUGACAUUGGCAGGGCUUCCACUGCAAUUCUGGACAGGACCUUCACGAGGAGGACACCACAGUCACCGUGAAGCAAAUGGACGCACUUGAGCCCUGGGUCUGUGCUCCCUGCAAUGUGAUGGGAUCGAGGACCCAAACAUGGCCGACUUACUCAGGCACGGCAGGGCUGCCCGUAGAAGCGCCUGAAAUUCUCCUCACUGAACGACCUCGGAGGUCUCUGGAUCUACAAUUAAAAUUUUAUUUUAAAACUUUUUCCUUUUAGCUUUUCAUUAUGUGAAGUUUUAACAAAAGAAGUCUCUGCGACUGAAAGCGGGGCUCUUGAUGCCGUCCGAUCAGAAUCACGAGCAGACGUACCUCACAGAAUGGGUGCACGAUGGGGCUCCAUCUUCUGGAAUAUUCUCUGCUGGAAAUGGACAGGAGGGAGCCUGGAGUUACUUUGGGGACUGAAGGUGUACUGGUUACGUCUAACUGUGAGAUGCGAGUGCUGUGUGUGGUGUACAUGCGUGAGGAGUUACCCACAGCCUGCAGCGGAGGUAUGCAGCUGUUUAUAGAAAAAUGCGGACUGAUGCUUCUCACGUGUUUUUAAAUGGCCAUAGAGCCCCGUGUGAUAAACACGUCACACUCCAGCACAGUUUAUAUUAACCAGCCAUUCAAAGCACCCUGUUCCUCUGUAGCUCAAUUUAUGUUUCAUUAACUGGCUAACCAGGUUUGUGGGUUGAUAUACCGUCCAGAGAAUACUGCUGAUGUGUACCAUUCAAGACCAGAUUAUCUGUGAUAAGAUUAGUUAUCACUUAAACUGUGUAAAACCAAAAUGAGGAUAAUUUAAUCCCUCAGCGCUUUCUAACACUGGUGAGCUGCCUAUUUCCUCUGCGGCCUGAUUUUGGCGUUCGCUACAGUUUGGUGAGCAGUGCGUGUCUUUAUCGAGCCGGUAUUGUGCCGUGAUGCGGACGGGGUUGUGGUGAAGCUUGCAGCCGCCAUGUUCCUCUGUCGUUAUCGGUGGCUGUCUCUCUGUAUAUACCCCGUGCUUCUGCGUGUUUCACAUGCGUGUUCAGCUUCUGGGGGACCUAGACUGCUUAGCAAUCCGGGGAGGGCCAGAUCUGUCCUGCACACGGCAUGGGAUCUGCCGGAAGUGUUUUGCCUUUUUCUCUCUUCUGAAACAGGAUAGUCAAAGGCUGAAGGUGACUUUCUUAUUACUGAUUUAUUUUUUUGCACCUUGGAUGUAAGUGCAGAGAUGCUCUAUGGUUCCAUGCUUAACUAAGCCAUGUCUUAUCAACGUUCAGGCAUCUGCUGAAUGCCUAAAGUCUAUUUAAAAAUCUGUUUGAAUAAGCAGACUAUACACACAUCAGGUCACUUUGAAAGGUUUCAAAUUUCUAAAAAAUUGUACACAUUGUAAUAUAUAUGAUCAUAAACGUUUUUAUAUUUAAAACACUGCGGGAAUAAAUACUGAGCUGAAACAUCUGGAAACAUCUGAUAUGGAGAUUUUUUUUAACCUAAACACGUAUCUUCAGAGAUGCCUUGUAAUGUCUCGUGAAGCAACUGCUAAUGUGAUCCUGGUUUCAGCUCAGAAGGUAGCAGCUCAAACUGGCCACAUCUCUGCUGGCACAAGCUGAGAUUUUUAGCAACAAGAAAAGGGUGAUAAUAACUUAAGGUCUUCAUCACAAAGCAGACCGUCUGCCAUAAAUUACAUAUUUUCAAGCAGCUGGCAUGUAUCUUGGAGAAGAAAAUGCUUUUGAUGCAUGUAAUCAUGGACUCCUUGAUCUAAGGGCUUUUUGUAAGUGUGGUAUAGUAUGUUUUUGACAGGCUAGAACACCCAUAAUUCUUACAGUGAGGCACUACUUCAGUUACAGCGAACUGUGAAGGUCUUUUGUGAAAGUUUAUUUUAUUGUUAAAUCGUACUGUGACUCAUUAAUGAAUCUACUGAAAUGCACUUUAUCUCGGGAGCAUCCGGAGUGCUGGUGAUUUAGUCAGCGGGAAAAAUCAGGCUAGGGUGAUGAGGUUUGGAUGAAUCAGGGAAGGUUAGGCUUAGUUACGGUUGGUUAGUGUGACCUGAGGAUAGAAGAUUAUGGUGUGUGCAUGUGGAGAGACUGAGGCCAGAAGGUAUAAAGGUUCAGAGUUGGAGGUAGAUUCAUUGAUUCGGUUUGGUGUUUUUGAGUAUGACAGAAUUUCUUCAGAUUAAAAGCAUAAUCUGCAAAAUCAAUGCAAGUAUUGUUUAAUUUGCUUAUUUUUAAGGAUUUAAAAUAAAUCUUAAACACAAUCCCUUACGGCAAUGAGUUUCCAAUGCCUGAAACUCCAGAGAGUGUACUCCUUCAAUUGUGCAGUGCGUAAAAAUAGACACAUCAGAUUCUGGCAUAGAGCGUCACAGUAAUCAUGACAGAUGUAUUAAUCCACCUGCCCUCAAAUGUCUGUACUUACCCUGCUGUUUUAUGAUGGUGUUCGUCUCUGUCUGGACUCAUAAUACCCAUAGAACGUUCUAGUAGAACUGUUCUGUAUGAGUAGCACAUGAUUUUAUUUAUUUAUUUUUGAUUUAUGGAUGCACUUUUAUUUUUUUGCAUUCUGGAUUUUGCCAGUAUUGCAGGCUGUAGCUCUGGAUGUGCGCGAUACCACACGAGGCUCCUGCUCCAUCCUCUAGGUGGAGCUACAGGGAUGAGCCCCAGGGUAUAUCAGUAAAAACAUCAAAAAGUGCUCUCAUGUUCAGACAACCAGCCAAAGGAGGCCUCUCCAGCCAUUUCUGCACGCCACAUUGCUUUCAUCCAAAACAUCUGCAUUUUACUGGGAUGUUGUAUAGUACUUGUGUUUUCACAGCCUUGGGGAGGACUUUCCAACCCAUAAUAUGUGAAUAUGUGUAAAUGAGAAAAAUGGAUUUACUUGAAAUUAAGUGUUCCAAUACCUGUUGGUUUCUGGCAUGGUCGUUCUUUUGCUGAUGUUUAAACUUGCCACUUUACAGCCAUCGUAUGUACUGUAAAUUGAGAACCUCUUUCGUUUUAUAGAUGUUGACCAGUUUCAUUCGUGCGAAUAAGACUUCACUGUUGAGUUGUAUGUUUCGAAAAUAAAUCAGUAGAUCUCG